rnacentral:tRNA from 1 species
GUUUUGGUAGCUCAGCUGGAUAGAGCGACCGCCUCCUAAGCGGUAGGCCGGGGGUUCGAAUCCCCCCCAGAACACCA